CAGCAGCCGCGGUAAUACGGAGGGUGCAAGCGUUAAUCGGAAUUACUGGGCGUAAAGCGCACGCAGGCGGUUUGUUAAGUCAGAUGUGAAAUCCCCGGGCUCAACCUGGGAACUGCAUUUGAAACUGGCAAGCUAGAGUCUCGUAGAGGGGGGUAGAAUUCCAGGUGUAGCGGUGAAAUGCGUAGAGAUCUGGAGGAAUACCGGUGGCGAAGGCGGCCCCCUGGACGAAGACUGACGCUCAGGUGCGAAAGCGUGGGGAGCAAACAGGAUUAGAUACCCCUGUAGUCCCUGUCUCUUAUAA
rnacentral:rRNA from 1 species